UCAGCCUGCGACACGGCCCCGCCCACGCCGGCGGCCCCGCCCACUCCGCCUCACCUGCGCUGGAGCUCCGGCCAACGCCCGCCAGGCGCAGGGCUGUGUGACAACUCCCAUACACCACCGUCCUCACCUCCUCUCCAAGUCAGAUGCAUCUGUCUCAGAGCCCUUGCGCACGGCACUGGGGCUGAGAGCAGCGACCCUACCUGGUAAAGUUGGAGGUCACUGUGCCGUCUAAAUCACGAGGAGACCUGGAUCCCAUUACCUCCCCAAAAUCCUUCGCUCAGUGAGACUGGGUUGGCUGCUUUUCCCAACUUCAUCCUGCUCCUUCUCCUUCUCCUUUCUGUCUUCCUGCCUCCCCCGUCCUCCAUGUGUUCAGCAAUCUCUGAAAUGAAUCCCCAAAUGCCCCUGUCCCCUCCCCAGAUCCCCCACCUUCCUCUCUCCGUGUGCCCAAAGCACUGACUCUGCCCUUUCCUGAGGGCACUGCUCCCAUAUGUUAUUCACGUUCUAGUAACCUCUGAGCAGGGCUCUGAGUGCCCCAGACCUCCUCCGUGUCUGUAUCUGGCAACAGCAAUGGUUUGCUAAGUGAAUGCGCGUGAUUAAUAAAUUGAGCA